rnacentral:lncRNA from 1 species
UAAUUAAUAAUUUCAAUUCUUAAUGUUUGCAUUAACCAAGGACAUUUUCUGGUAUUUUGAAUGUUUCACAAUUCUCUGCCUUUUGCUUUAUAUAUACUAGCCCCUUGACACAUGCUCACGCAUGUGCCAAUUGGUUUUCUUUUUCUUUUUUAUUUUAUUUUUAGAAUUAAUAAAAGAUAACGGGGUAGUUAUGUUCCAUAAAAG